rnacentral:lncRNA from 1 species
AAAAAUCAAGAAAAAUGAGCAAAUGCGAAAGAAAUGAGUCGUGAUACAAACGUUUAUCACUUUCGGUCGAGUGAGCGAAUGAGUGCACGGUCGAAUGAACUGGUUACGAGUGUAGGUCGAGUGAGAGCUCAACGAGUGGCUUCUUCGGUUGCGUGAUGCUUCUCGAGUGGGAUAGUGUGACACGGUGGCGCGACAAGUGGGAGCUCGAGUGAGGAGAGAAACAAGUGGUGGUGAGUCGGUGGGUCGAGUGGAGGGAAGGCGAGCUCGAGUUGUGCCGGACAAGUGAAAGAGAGGGGAGGGUUGAGUGAUACUCCGACUGUGAGCUCGCGGUAGACGCGAAUCAAGUAUUCGUUGAUCUAGUGGGGAGACGAAGCUGUCGAGUGGUGUGCGCCUGAUCGUGUGGAAGUUUGCUCUGUCGGGUGAGUGCUUAGCGAACUUCGGUCGAGUAACGGUGCAGAAUGAGUGAGAGCAAACUUGUCACCGGUCGUGUGGUGAAAGCUUUAGCGUUGAGUGAAUCGAGUGGGUCGAGUGAGCUGUGGAGAACGGGUUGGUCGAGUGGCGUGACGGUGAGGUGCGUCGAGUGAGCUUGCUUGAGCGGCUUCAGUGAGGAUGCGAAAUCCGUCAAGUUCGGUCGAGUGAGCCAGCCAACGUGUCGAGUGAGAAGGAAAACUGGUCGACUAGAAUCGAGAGAGACGGUGGUAUCGACUAGCUUCGGCCGAGUGACGUAUGCUGCGGAGACGAUCGUUGAGUGAGUCGGUCGAGUGAGAGAGAACAGAGUGAUGUAGAGCCGAAAUCCAGUCGCGCGAAGAGGAGAUGAUGUUCGUGGUUCCUCCGUCUAGUAACGGUGAGAGCGAUCGAGUGGAUUCGUUGGUCGAGUGAGAGUGUGAAAGAGUGGGGAGCUCGAGUGAAAAGGGUGAAAAUGGUUGAAUGAUGAAACCGAGUGAAAGGUUUGAGUGAGUGAAGAUAAGAUAUGUGUGGUUUGGAUGUAGGAUGAGUUGAGCGAUAGAGAUGGUUUUUUUUUUUUUUUCCCACUUGACAAGAUCACGCACAAAUAAUUAUCUCCCACUCCAUGUUUUUCACUUUGUCAUACUCGAUUCUGCAUCCGCACGUUGCUCUGUUUUGCAUUACUCCAUCUAUCUGAAAUCCUGACCAACAGAAAACCAAAAACAAAAAUCAAAAACACAAAAAAAA